rnacentral:lncRNA from 1 species
AAGAGUCAACCAGGAGAGAAAGGAAGGGCGUUCCAAGGAGAGAAAACAGCAGAAGCAAAGGCACAGAGGAAAGAAAGGAGAUGGCAUGUUCAAAUAAGGGAAAUUCAUUGAGGCAGCAAGGGAGAGAGGGAAGGGUACAUCAGGCCAGGCCAUAAGGGAAGCAUUUCUUGACAAAAUACGAGUUUAGACUUUGUCCUGCAGGACAACUUUUCCCAAGACCUGUUCUGUAAAGCAUUCACCGUGGAAGAUGUAAGGCGCCGCUUCAUGAACAAAACCAGCACACCAGUAAAUUUGGGAAGUGCUGGGUUGAGCUAAGUUAAAUUUUGUAUUGUAAUGAAAGUCCUUAGAUAUGAACAAGAAAACUGGAAAUAGAAAAUUCAUUGUCGCGGAUUCGAGCCAAGAUGGCCAAUUAGGAACAGCUCCCAUCUGCAGCUCCCAGCGUAAGCAAUGCAGAAGAUGGGUGAUUUCUGCAUUUCCAUCUGAGGUACCAGGUUCAUCUCACUAGGGAGUGCAAGACAGUGGGUGCAGGACAGUGGGUGCAGCGCACCAUGCACGAGCUGAAGCAGGGCGAGGCAUUGCCUCACUCGGGAAGCACAAGGGGUCAGGGAGUUCCCUUUCCUAGUCAAAGAAAGGGGUGACAGAUGGCACCUGGAAAAAUCGGGUCACUCCCAGCCCAAUACUGCGCUUUUCUGACGGGUUUAAAAAUGGCACACCAGGAGAUUAUAUCCCGCACUUGGCUCGGAGGGUCCUAUGCCCACGGAGUCUCGCUAAUUGUUAGCACAGCAGUCUGAGAUCAAACUGCAAGGCGG